rnacentral:rRNA from 1 species
UUAAGCGACUAAGCGUACACGGUGGAUGCCCUGGCAGUCAGAGGCGAUGAAGGACGUGCUAAUCUGCGAUAAGCGUCGGUGAGGUGAUAUGAACCGUUAUAACCGGCGAUUUCCGAAUGGGGAAACCCAGUGUGUUUCGACACACUAUCAUUAACUGAAUCCAUAGGUUAAUGAGGCGAACCGGGGGAACUGAAACAUCUAAGUACCCCGAGGAAAAGAAAUCAACCGAGAUUCCCCCAGUAGCGGCGAGCGAACGGGGAGGAGCCCAGAGCCUGAAUCAGUGUGUGUGUUAGUGGAAGCGUCUGGAAAGGCGCGCGAUACAGGGUGACAGCCCCGUACACAAAAAUGCACAUAUUGUGAGCUCGAUGAGUAGGGCGGGACACGUGGUAUCCUGUCUGAAUAUGGGGGGACCAUCCUCCAAGGCUAAAUACUCCUGACUGACCGAUAGUGAACCAGUACCGUGAGGGAAAGGCGAAAAGAACCCCGGCGAGGGGAGUGAAAAAGAACCUGAAACCGUGUACGUACAAGCAGUGGGAGCCUCUUAAUGGGGUGACUGCGUACCUUUUGUAUAAUGGGUCAGCGACUUAUAUUCUGUAGCAAGGUUAACCGAAUAGGGGAGCCGAAGGGAAACCGAGUCUUAACUGGGCGUUAAGUUGCAGGGUAUAGACCCGAAACCCGGUGAUCUAGCCAUGGGCAGGUUGAAGGUUGGGUAACACUAACUGGAGGACCGAACCGACUAAUGUUGAAAAAUUAGCGGAUGACUUGUGGCUGGGGGUGAAAGGCCAAUCAAACCGGGAGAUAGCUGGUUCUCCCCGAAAGCUAUUUAGGUAGCGCCUCGUGAAUUCAUCUCCGGGGGUAGAGCACUGUUUCGGCAAGGGGGUCAUCCCGACUUACCAACCCGAUGCAAACUGCGAAUACCGGAGAAUGUUAUCACGGGAGACACACGGCGGGUGCUAACGUCCGUCGUGAAGAGGGAAACAACCCAGACCGCCAGCUAAGGUCCCAAAGUCAUGGUUAAGUGGGAAACGAUGUGGGAAGGCCCAGACAGCCAGGAUGUUGGCUUAGAAGCAGCCAUCAUUUAAAGAAAGCGUAAUAGCUCACUGGUCGAGUCGGCCUGCGCGGAAGAUGUAACGGGGCUAAACCAUGCACCGAAGCUGCGGCAGCGACACUAUGUGUUGUUGGGUAGGGGAGCGUUCUGUAAGCCUGUGAAGGUGGCCUGUGAGGGUUGCUGGAGGUAUCAGAAGUGCGAAUGCUGACAUAAGUAACGAUAAAGCGGGUGAAAAGCCCGCUCGCCGGAAGACCAAGGGUUCCUGUCCAACGUUAAUCGGGGCAGGGUGAGUCGACCCCUAAGGCGAGGCCGAAAGGCGUAGUCGAUGGGAAACAGGUUAAUAUUCCUGUACUUGGUGUUACUGCGAAGGGGGGACGGAGAAGGCUAUGUUGGCCGGGCGACGGUUGUCCCGGUUUAAGCGUGUAGGCUGGUUUUCCAGGCAAAUCCGGAAAACCAAGGCUGAGGCGUGAUGACGAGGCACUACGGUGCUGAAGCGACAAAUGCCCUGCUUCCAGGAAAAGCCUCUAAGCAUCAGGUAACAUCAAAUCGUACCCCAAACCGACACAGGUGGUCAGGUAGAGAAUACCAAGGCGCUUGAGAGAACUCGGGUGAAGGAACUAGGCAAAAUGGUGCCGUAACUUCGGGAGAAGGCACGCUGAUAUGUAGGUGAAGCGACUUGCUCGUGGAGCUGAAAUCAGUCGAAGAUACCAGCUGGCUGCAACUGUUUAUUAAAAACACAGCACUGUGCAAACACGAAAGUGGACGUAUACGGUGUGACGCCUGCCCGGUGCCGGAAGGUUAAUUGAUGGGGUUAGCGGCAACGCGAAGCUCUUGAUCGAAGCCCCGGUAAACGGCGGCCGUAACUAUAACGGUCCUAAGGUAGCGAAAUUCCUUGUCGGGUAAGUUCCGACCUGCACGAAUGGCGUAAUGAUGGCCAGGCUGUCUCCACCCGAGACUCAGUGAAAUUGAACUCGCUGUGAAGAUGCAGUGUACCCGCGGCAAGACGGAAAGACCCCGUGAACCUUUACUAUAGCUUGAUACUGAACAUUGAGCCUUGAUGUGUAGGAUAGGUGGGAGGCUUUGAAGUGUGGACGCCAGUCUGCAUGGAGCCGGCCUUGAAAUACCACCCUUUAAUGUUUGAUGUUCUAACGUGGGCCCCUUACCGGGGUUGCGGACAGUGUCUGGUGGGUAGUUUGACUGGGGCGGUCUCCUCCUAAAGAGUAACGGAGGAGCACGAAGGUUGGCUAAUCCUGGUCGGACAUCAGGAGGUUAGUGCAAUGGCAUAAGCCAGCUUGACUGCGAGCGUGACGGCGCGAGCAGGUGCGAAAGCAGGUCAUAGUGAUCCGGUGGUUCUGAAUGGAAGGGCCAUCGCUCAACGGAUAAAAGGUACUCCGGGGAUAACAGGCUGAUACCGCCCAAGAGUUCAUAUCGACGGCGGUGUUUGGCACCUCGAUGUCGGCUCAUCACAUCCUGGGGCUGAAGUAGGUCCCAAGGGUAUGGCUGUUCGCCAUUUAAAGUGGUACGCGAGCUGGGUUUAGAACGUCGUGAGACAGUUCGGUCCCUAUCUGCCGUGGGCGCUGGAGAACUGAGGGGGGCUGCUCCUAGUACGAGAGGACCGGAGUGGACGCAUCACUGGUGUUCGGGUUGUCAUGCCAAUGGCACUGCCCGGUAGCUAAAUGCGGAAGAGAUAAGUGCUGAAAGCAUCUAAGCACGAAACUUGCCCCGAGAUGAGUUCUCCCUGACCCUUUAAGGGUCCUGAAGGAACGUUGAAGACGACGACGUUGAUAGGCCGGGUGUGUAAGCGCAGCGAUGCGUUGAGCUAACCGGUACUAAUGAACCGUGAGGCUUAACCUU